rnacentral:rRNA from 1 species
GGGUUGUGAGGUUAAGCGACCAAGCGUACACGGUGGAUGCCCUGGCAGUCAGAGGCGAUGAAGGACGUGCUAAUCUGCGAUAAGCGCCGGUAAGGUGAUAUGAACCGUUAUAACCGGCGAUUUCCGAAUGGGGAAACCCAGUGUGACUCGUCACACUAUCAUUAACUGAAUCCAUAGGUUAAUGAGGCGAACCGGGGGAACUGAAACAUCUAAGUACCCCGAGGAAAAGAAAUCAACCGAGAUUCCCCCAGUAGCGGCGAGCGAACGGGGAGGAGCCCAGAGCCUGAAUCAGCAUGUGUGUUAGUGGAAGCGUCUGGAAAGGCGCGCGAUACAGGGUGACAGCCCCGUACACAAAAGCGCAUGUGCUGUGAGCUCGAUGAGUAGGGCGGGACACGUGGUAUCCUGUCUGAAUAUGGGGGGACCAUCCUCCAAGGCUAAAUACUCCUGACUGACCGAUAGUGAACCAGUACCGUGAGGGAAAGGCGAAAAGAACCCCGGCGAGGGGAGUGAAACAGAACCUGAAACCGUGUACGUACAAGCAGUGGGAGCACAGGUUUACCUGUGUGACUGCGUACCUUUUGUAUAAUGGGUCAGCGACUUAUAUUCUGUAGCAAGGUUAACCGUAUAGGGGAGCCGAAGGGAAACCGAGUCUUAACCGGGCGUUAAGUUGCAGGGUAUAGACCCGAAACCCGGUGAUCUAGCCAUGGGCAGGUUGAAGGUUGGGUAACACUAACUGGAGGACCGAACCGACUAAUGUUGAAAAAUUAGCGGAUGACCUGUGGCUGGGGGUGAAAGGCCAAUCAAACCGGGAGAUAGCUGGUUCUCCCCGAAAGCUAUUUAGGUAGCGCCUCGUGAACUCAUCUCCGGGGGUAGAGCACUGUUUCGGCUAGGGGGCCAUCCCGGCUUACCAACCCGAUGCAAACUGCGAAUACCGGAGAAUGUUAUCACGGGAGACACACGGCGGGUGCUAACGUCCGUCGUGAAGAGGGAAACAACCCAGACCGCCAGCUAAGGUCCCAAAGUCAUGGUUAAGUGGGAAACGAUGUGGGAAGGCCCAGACAGCCAGGAUGUUGGCUUAGAAGCAGCCAUCAUUUAAAGAAAGCGUAAUAGCUCACUGGUCGAGUCGGCCUGCGCGGAAGAUGUAACGGGGCUAAACCAUGCACCGAAGCUGCGGCAGCGACACUGUGUGUUGUUGGGUAGGGGAGCGUUCUGUAAGCCUGUGAAGGUGGCCUGUGAGGGUUGCUGGAGGUAUCAGAAGUGCGAAUGCUGACAUAAGUAACGAUAAAGCGGGUGAAAAGCCCGCUCGCCGGAAGACCAAGGGUUCCUGUCCAACGUUAAUCGGGGCAGGGUGAGUCGACCCCUAAGGCGAGGCCGAAAGGCGUAGUCGAUGGGAAACGGGUUAAUAUUCCCGUACUUGGUGUUACUGCGAAGGGGGGACGGAGAAGGCUAUGUUGGCCGGGCGACGGUUGUCCCGGUUUAAGCGUGUAGGCUGACUUUCCAGGCAAAUCCGGAGAGUCAAGGCUGAGGCGUGACGACGAGGCACCACGGUGCUGAAGCAACAAAUGCCCUGCUUCCAGGAAAAGCCUCUAAGCAUCAGGUAACAUCAAAUCGUACCCCAAACCGACACAGGUGGUCAGGUAGAGAAUACCAAGGCGCUUGAGAGAACUCGGGUGAAGGAACUAGGCAAAAUGGUGCCGUAACUUCGGGAGAAGGCACGCUGACACGUAGGUGAAGUGGUUUACCCAUGGAGCUGAAGUCAGUCGAAGAUACCAGCUGGCUGCAACUGUUUAUUAAAAACACAGCACUGUGCAAACACGAAAGUGGACGUAUACGGUGUGACGCCUGCCCGGUGCCGGAAGGUUAAUUGAUGGGGUCAGCGCAAGCGAAGCUCCUGAUCGAAGCCCCGGUAAACGGCGGCCGUAACUAUAACGGUCCUAAGGUAGCGAAAUUCCUUGUCGGGUAAGUUCCGACCUGCACGAAUGGCGUAAUGAUGGCCAGGCUGUCUCCACCCGAGACUCAGUGAAAUUGAACUCGCUGUGAAGAUGCAGUGUACCCGCGGCAAGACGGAAAGACCCCGUGAACCUUUACUAUAGCUUGACACUGAACAUUGAGCCUUGAUGUGUAGGAUAGGUGGGAGGCUUUGAAGCGUGGACGCCAGUCUGCGUGGAGCCGACCUUGAAAUACCACCCUUUAAUGUUUGAUGUUCUAACGUGGACCCGUAAUCCGGGUUGCGGACAGUGUCUGGUGGGUAGUUUGACUGGGGCGGUCUCCUCCUAAAGAGUAACGGAGGAGCACGAAGGUUGGCUAAUCCUGGUCGGACAUCAGGAGGUUAGUGCAAUGGCAUAAGCCAGCUUGACUGCGAGCGUGACGGCGCGAGCAGGUGCGAAAGCAGGUCAUAGUGAUCCGGUGGUUCUGAAUGGAAGGGCCAUCGCUCAACGGAUAAAAGGUACUCCGGGGAUAACAGGCUGAUACCGCCCAAGAGUUCAUAUCGACGGCGGUGUUUGGCACCUCGAUGUCGGCUCAUCACAUCCUGGGGCUGAAGUAGGUCCCAAGGGUAUGGCUGUUCGCCAUUUAAAGUGGUACGCGAGCUGGGUUUAGAACGUCGUGAGACAGUUCGGUCCCUAUCUGCCGUGGGCGCUGGAGAACUGAGGGGGGCUGCUCCUAGUACGAGAGGACCGGAGUGGACGCAUCACUGGUGUUCGGGUUGUCAUGCCAAUGGCACUGCCCGGUAGCUAAAUGCGGAAGAGAUAAGUGCUGAAAGCAUCUAAGCACGAAACUUGCCCCGAGAUGAGUUCUCCCUGAGACUUUGAGUCUCCUGAAGGAACGUUAAAGACGAUGACGUUGAUAGGCCGGGUGUGUAAGCGCAGCGAUGCGUUGAGCUAACCGGUACUAAUGAACCGUGAGGCUUAACCUUACAACGCCGAAGCUGUU